rnacentral:rRNA from 1 species
UCGGGGACAAGGUGACAGGUGGUGCAUGGUUGUCGUCAGCUCGUGUCGUGAGAUGUUGGGUUAAGUCCCGCAACGAGCGCAACCCUUAUUACUAGUUGCCAGCAUUCAGUUGGGCACUCUAGUGAGACUGCCGGUGACAAACCGGAGGAAGGUGGGGAUGACGUCAAAUCAUCAUGCCCCUUAUGACCUGGGCUACACACGUGCUACAAUGGCGUAUACAACGAGUUGCCAACCCGCGAGGGUGAGCUAAUCUCUUAAAGUACGUCUCAGUUCGGAUUGUAGGCUGCAACUCGCCUACAUGAAGUCGGAAUCGCUAGUAAU